rnacentral:tRNA from 1 species
UGGGGUGUGGCUCAGUGGUAGAGCACUUGCCUAGCAUGUGUGAGGCACUGGGUUCAAUCCUCAGCACCACAU